rnacentral:rRNA from 1 species
GACGAACGCUGGCGGCGUGCUUAACACAUGCAAGUCGAACGGAAAGGCCCUGCUUUUGUGGGGUGCUCGAGUGGCGAACGGGUGAGUAACACGUGAGUAACCUGCCCUUGACUUUGGGAUAACUUCAGGAAACUUGGGCUAAUACCGGAUAUGAGCUCCUGCUGCAUGGUGGGGGUUGGAAAGUUUCGGCGGUUGGUGAUGGACUCGCGGCUUAUCAGCUUGUUGGUGGGGUAGUGGCUUACCAAGGCUUUGACGGGUAGCCGGCCUGAGAGGGUGACCGGCCACAUUGGGACUGAGAUACGGCCCAGACUCCUACGGGAGGCAGCAGUGGGGAAUAUUGCACAAUGGGCGGAAGCCUGAUGCAGCAACGCCGCGUGCGGGAUGACGGCCUUCGGGUUGUAAACCGCUUUCGCCUGUGACGAAGCGUGAGUGACGGUAAUGGGUAAAGAAGCACCGGCUAACUACGUG